GGUGUGUGUGGUUGUGUGUCGUGAAGAUUAGCUGUGUUGGGAGACCGGGCUUGGAAUCCCGGAAGAAAGCGCCUCCCCGAACGGUUGAAACGGGCCACCAUCAUGAACGCGUCGCGUACGCUCAUAAAUCAUAGCAGGCCAUGCAGUCUCCACGCAGACACACACAGAGUGACGGGCAAACACACAAAUGAAGUAACUGCAGCACACUGCUGCGUGUGAUAGAAAGUGUGGAGAAAUCGGAAACGAGGGUGAAACAUUUCAAUCGUGAAUUAUCGCCAUUUGGAUCGAUAUAAAAUGGGAAUGGAGGCGAUUAGUGUGUGUGUGUGUGCGUCUGUUGGGCGCCUCAAUAUGUGUCGUUAUGGGGCAGGAGAGCAUAACGAAUGCCAACAAAGCUCAGAAGCGCUCCCAAUUGUCCGGAUUUGUGAGGUGACCUAAUUUGGCGCACGCCUAGCUGUGAUUGCAUGGAAUGUUUACGUUUAGGGCAGAUUGAUAAAUGAAGGGCCCUUCACUGUGAAGAAGGCAGAGGAGUAGGAGCGCUACAUUUCAAUUGAAACGGGCGGUGACUGUCGCAACUGGAAUGUUUUUUUUUUUCUUUUUCUAUACAUCGGUGAGGUAUCGAGAUUUUGUGAUCCAAUCUGGCGGUAACGGGCUGGAACUGGAAGAUAUACGAGAUACACCUUCGUUGAGACACGUUGAAAUCACUUUCGUAGAAAUAUGUCUCUGGCGUAGAGCAUUCGCUCCGAUUGACAGUUGGAGGAUCGUGAGACGCGGCCCACAUGAUUUGGAAGUUUUACUCCUUUUCCAAACACCUCCGAAGCAUGACGCCAUCCGCACAAAGGGAGUUCCAAUACGUCAGUUGCUGUCGAUGGUGUGUGUGUACGAUCUAGUGAAGGUAUGUUUGAGCCAGAAGUGCAGGUGAUUAUGUUUUGCUCGUUUCCAUCACAACAAAUGUGAUACAAUCUUGGGGAAGAUAAGUAAUUGAUAUCCUCUAAUUGUGUGCUUUUAAUAGUUUUUUUCAUUGGACUAUUAUGCAGACCAUCGCGAAGACGUCUUUAAACACUUA